AUGGCAAGUCGCCUGGUUCCCCUGGCGCAUGCACGUCGACAGAGGGCCCAGUGCGCUGGUCUGAUUGACGUCGCGCUUCUCUUUGGCGCUCGAUGCGAGUACGAGCGUCUUCUUGCUGUCGUUCGUGAAGAACUUGGCGCUGAUCGCGACGAGCUCGUGGAUCCGAUGAUGUGGUGGAGUCGCUGUCGAGGUGAAUCUGGCGAGUCGGCGAUCUUGUCCUUCGGGGUGGAGAGUGCAUGGUGGUUGCACCUCCGCCGGUUUCGUCGCCACCGGCUCGUGCCUGGCAGUCCUGCCGCGGCCGCGAUGUACUCGGCUGCCGUGGAGUGUCGCCGUUGGCGAAGCCGAUGA
rnacentral:rRNA from 1 species